rnacentral:rRNA from 1 species
AUUGGGCCUAAGCAUCCGUAGCCGGUUCUACAAGUCUUCCGUUAAAUCCACCUGCUCAACAGAUGGGCUGCGGAAGAUACUAUGGAGCUAGGAGGCGGGAGAGGCAAGCGGUACUCGAUGGGUAGGGGUAAAAUCCGUUGAUCCAUUGAAGACCACCAGUGGCGAAGGCGGCUUGCCAGAACGCGCUCGACGGUGAGGGAUGAAAGCUGGGGGAGCAAACCGGAUUAGAUACCCCCGUAGUCCAA